rnacentral:hammerhead_ribozyme from 1 species
AUACAGCUGACGAGUCCCGUAUAGGACGAAACGCGCGUCUUAGAU